UCGGGAAUUUUGGGCAAUGGGCGAAAGCCUGACCCAGCAACGCCGCGUGAAGGAUGAAGUAUUUCGGUAUGUAAACUUCGAAAGAAUAGGAAGAAUAAAUGACGGUACUAUUUAUAAGGUCCGGCUAACUACGUGCCAGCAGCCGCGGUAAUACGUAGGGACCAAGCGUUGUUCGGAUUUACUGGGCGUAAAGGGCGCGUAGGCGGCAAUUCAAGUCAUCUGUGAAAUCUCCGGGCUUAACUCGGAACGGUCAGAUGAUACUGCUUUGCUAGAGUGCAGAAGGGGCAAUCGGAAUUCUUGGUGUAGCGGUGAAAUGCGUAGAUAUCAAGAGGAACACCUGAGGUGAAGACGGGUUAGCUGGGCUGACACUGACGCUGAGGCGCGAAAGCC
rnacentral:rRNA from 1 species